UCCCUCUUAGCUCAGUGGUAGAGCGCACCACUCGUAGUUUAACUACAACAUGGUGAGGUCAGUCGUUCAAUCCGGCUAGCGGGAA